UACGUAGGGUGCAAGCGUUGUCCGGAAUUAUUGGGCGUAAAGAGCUCGUAGGCGGUUUGUCGCGUCUGCCGUGAAAGUCCGGGGCUCAACUCCGGAUCUGCGGUGGGUACGGGCAGACUAGAGUGAUGUAGGGGAGACUGGAAUUCCUGGUGUAGCGGUGGAAUGCGCAGAUAUCAGGAGGAACACCGAUGGCGAAGGCAGUUCUCUGGGCCGUAACUGACGCUGAGGAGCGAAAGCGUGGGGAGCGAACAGG
rnacentral:rRNA from 1 species